rnacentral:lncRNA from 1 species
CAUUCAUUCAUUUGUUUGUUUGUUUAUUACUAUUCAAAUGUAAUCCUUUGAAGGGAACUGAAUUCAGAAUUCCGAGUCCUGAAUUCCUAUCCCAGCGCCUUCACUCUCUUGCUGUAUAACCCUGGCAAAUCAUUUAACUCCUAUUUACUCAUCAUUUAUAGUCUGUUGUGUGCUUGGCACUGAGCUAAGCACGCAGGAUGUAAAAAUGAAAUAAGACCCAAAUCUUAUCUUCAAGAAGGCACAUUCACAAAUUAAUUGGGACAAGAGAGGAUAUUGGGAUAAGAGAGGUCCAGAGUCCCGAUUAAAAUUCCGCCUUCUCCAGGAAGCCUUCUCCUGUUAUCUAUUUCUCCUGUAGGUUGUUUGCUUUGUAUAUAUUUGUUUGCAUUUUGUUCUCCCUCUUUAGAUCAUAAGCUCCUUGAGACUAUCUUUUGCCUCUUUUGUAUCCCCUGCACAUAGUAGGCAUUUCAUUCAUUUUUAUCAAUUGGUGGCAAUGAGAAUCGAGGAAGGAGAGAUGGAUUUUUAGCUUUAGAGGUCUGAGAGAAUUUGUUAGGGGACAUAAAACAUGCCCAGACAUGAGCUAAAACACAGAGAUAGGAGAGCAGGGCAAGAAUUUUCAGAGGCAGCCCCGAAGACAAGUUAGGUUAGGCUUAAAGGGGAGACCUAUGUGAGAUAAGGUCCAGGUCAAAAGGACCUUAAAUGCUACGGAAAGAAAUCUCCAUUUUAUUUUUUGGUGGUAAUGGGGAUCCAUUGAAGGUUUCAGCGUAGAUCUGAUCCAGUUUCACUAGGAAAUUGGGAAAUCUAGUGCAUUAGGGAGAACUGGGAAAUCUUCCUAGUGCACUAAGAAGAUAAUGGAAAACAGAAUUUAAAAUGGAUUGGAGGGCACAGCUGCGUGACUCAGUGGAGAGAGAACCAUGCCUGGAGACAGGAGGUCUUGGAUUCAUAUAUGGCCUCAGAUAUUUCCUAGCUAUUUGGCUUUGGCUGACCUUUCUAUAGAGUACAUUGGAUUUGGCUGCCUGCUAGUCUCUCCUACUCAAAAUCGACUCUUUCUGCAUAGUGGCAUCCUUGUAAGUAUUCAGGUUCUCCCUGCUCUUUGUUGCCAAAUGCUAUUAUUUCUCUCUCUCUCCAGAAUCACCUCUAUCCCUCUUUCCUUGUAGACUAUUCCACAGCCGGUCUAGUUUUUCUGCAUCUGGUCUAUCUCCCCUUUAUGCUACUCCUUGAAUAAUCUUCAUUCAAUGGUUACCAUUUCUGUACUCUGAAACCUUCGGUUGUUCCUCACUGCCUGUGGAAUAUUUAAACUCCUAACCCUAGAAUUCAAGGGCUUCACCUUCGGGUCCACCCCACCUAUCCAGUCCUGGCCCUUGUUACACUGUUGUUUUCCAUGAAUUGGUACCACCCCUCUGGCCCCUGUGAAACCAGAUUUUUGUUUUUUGUAAUUUCCCUCCCCACCUCCGACUCUAGAAAUCCCUUCCCAGCUUUGCUCAAUUGAGAGCUCAAGCAGAAGUUCUUGAACUUCACACCAUUUUCCCCUACUUCUCUCAACGAUGCCAAGGCUGUUUCCAUGUCACUUUGCAUUAUUUGGCACAGUGUGCAUUGGCUUCUCUGUAUGUUCCUUCUUCCCACCCCUCAUUGUAGUUUGAGGGCAAAGAUUUCAUUUUUGUCCUUGGAGCUCUAGUGAUGCCUUUUAUGUAGUAGGUGCUUAAUAACUGGUUGGAGGGCCAACCUUCCCAGCUUUCUUACAUCUUCUGAUCUCCUUUGCUUCUCCUUUUCUUACUGUCAUGAUGCUCUACGGGGUACAUGUAAAUCCUUCAUCUCCAUUUAACCACAGUAAGCAGGUAUUACAUAACUUUAAGCAUCUGUACCUUUAGUACCUGCCACACUGUAGGUGCUUAAUAAAUGGUGGAGGUGAAAUGAAGUUUCUUCA